CGCCACCCCGUCUGGGAAGUGAGGAGUGUCUCUGCCUGGCCGCCCAUCGUCUGGGAUGUGAGGAGCCCCUCUGCCCGGCCGCCCAGUCUGGGAAGUGAGGAGCGUCUCCGCCCGGCCGCCAUCCCAUCUAGGAAGUGAGGAGCGCCUCUUCCCAGCCGCCAUCACAUCUAGGAAGUGAGGAGCGUCUCUGCCCGGCCGCCCAUCGUCUGAGAUGUGGGGAGCGCCUCUGCCCCACCGCCCCAUCUGGGAUGUGAGGAGCGUCUCUGCCCGGCCGCCCCGUCUGAGAAGUGAGGAGACCCUCUGCCUGGCAACCACCCCGUCUGAGAAGUGAGGAGCCCCCCCGCCCGGCAGCUGCCCCGUCUGAGAAGUGAGGAGCCUCUCCGCCCAGCAGCCACCCCAUCUGGGAAGUGAGGAGCAUCUCCGCCCGGCAGCCACCCCGUCCGGGAGGGAGGUGAGGGGGGGUCAGCCCCCCGCCCGGCCAGCCGCCCCAACCGGGAGGGAGGUGGGGGGUCAGCCCCCCGCCCGGCCAGCCGUGCCAUCCGGGAGGGAGGUGGGGGGGUCAGCCCCCCGCCCGGCCAGCCGCCCGGUCCGGGAGGUGAGGGGCGCCUCUGCCCGGCCGCCCCUACUGGGAAGUGAGGAGCCCCUCUGCCCGGCCAGCCGCCCCGUCCGGGAGGGAGGUGGGGGGGUCAGCCCUCCGCCCGGCCAGCCGCCCCGUCUGGGAGGUGAGGGGCGCCUCUGCCCGGCCGCCCCUACUGGGAAGUGAGGAGCCCCUCUGCCCGGCCAGCUGCCCCGUCCGCGAGGGAGGUGGGGGGGUCAGCCCCCCGCCCGGCCAGCCGCCCCGUCCGGGAGGGAGGUGGGGGGGGUCAGCCC
rnacentral:lncRNA from 1 species